CCCGGCCUCCGGCUCCGCCCCCUCCCGGGGGACGAGGUCGCCGCGGAGACCGGCGCCCCGGUUCCCAUGACAACCGGUGCCCGGGGCCUCGCUUUUCGGGUUGUGGCCGAGCAGACGCUCUGGCAGAUCGCGGGGCUGCAAAGUACCUGUCCCCUGCAGUGCGGACUCCUAAUUUCAGGCCAAGUUGAAAACGCAGCCGGUCGCCCCCACGCCCCCACGUUCCAACUUCAGAAGCGGGACUUUGGGGCCCUAGGGAGUGUGAGGAAGAGGGAGUAAGGACUGUGAUGGGAACUUUGCCCAGAGGAGAAGCAGAAGCAAGAUAAGUAAUCUACCAAAACAUGAGCAGCUCAUCCUGUUAAAGAUCUGUUGUUACUGUUACAAGAUAUUGAGGGGGAAGAGUGAACCACAAUUCAAGCACCAUUUAGGAAACAAGAAGAUUGUACUUGUCUGGCUCCUUGAAGUGAGGCAUAGCCAAGUGGCUAGUUUUGGCCUAUGAAAUGUGUGUAGAAGCGAUAUAUGUCACUUUUGGGAGGAAAAUUUAUUACCAAUGUUGUGGAAACAUGGGCUGGUAAAAGGUACCAUAAUACUAAGGCAACGUAGAAAGUAGGCCAACAUGCAAAGAAAAGCAAGCCGCUGAGGACUUCAUGUGAGCAAGAAUUAAACUUUAAUUCUGUUAAACUUCGUACA
rnacentral:lncRNA from 12 species